GGCGGGAGGCGGAGAGGAGGAGGAGGAGGAGGACACACGCCAGGCGCAGCGCGGCGGCAACAACAGCGGCAGCGGCGGCAACAGCGGGGAGACACCGGCGGCGGCUCCUCGGAAGCGGCAGCCGCGCCAGCAGCGCCCCGCGCGUCCCCUCCCUCCCUCCCCCGCCGCGGAGACAGGGGGCAGCGCCGAGAGGAGAACCGGGCUCAGCGUGUGUGUGCGCGGGAGGAGGAGGACGAGAAGGAGGGGGGGACACACCGAGGACUGCGCCGGCCGAGGGCGCACGGAGCAGGGAAGCGGCGGCGGCGGCACCGAGAGGCGGCGGCGGGUCCUUGUGCCCGGAGAGGAGGGCGCAGCCCGCACGGGGGUUUCUACUGAGUUUCCUCUUUUUUUUUUUUCUUUUUUUUUUUUUUUUCCUUGGUCCCUGGGACUCAGCGGCGGGUCUGCGUUUGUCUCCGGAUUUGAAUCCUCCUCCUUCUCCUCCUUCCUCGGGGAAGCUCCCCUCCCCGCCCCCUCCCCUCCCCCACCGCCUCCCUGCCCGCCCGGAUCCAGCCGGGCGCCCCGUGCCGCGGUCGCGUUGCUCGGCAGAGCUGCUGCGGGCGCUCGCCGUCUCUGCGCGGGCUUGGAAUAUGGUUGGGGAAAUGGAAACCAAGGAGAAGCCGAAGCCGAGCCCCGAUUACCUGAUGCAGCUGAUGAACGACAAGAAGCUGAUGAGCAGCCUCCCCAACUUCUGCGGGAUCUUCAACCACCUCGAGAGGCUGCUGGACGAAGAAAUUAGCAGAGUACGGAAAGACAUGUAUAACGACACAUUAAAUGGUAGUACGGAGAAGAGAAGUGCAGAAUUACCAGAUGCUGUGGGACCUAUUGUACAGUUACAAGAGAAACUAUAUGUGCCUGUAAAAGAAUAUCCAGAUUUUAACUUUGUUGGAAGAAUCCUUGGGCCCAGAGGACUAACAGCUAAACAGCUUGAGGCAGAAACAGGAUGCAAGAUAAUGGUCCGAGGGAAGGGCUCAAUGAGGGACAAAAAGAAGGAAGAACAGAAUCGAGGCAAGCCCAACUGGGAACACCUGAAUGAAGAUUUACAUGUACUUAUCACUGUGGAGGAUGCUCAAAACAGAGCAGAAAUAAAGCUGAAGAGGGCUGUUGAAGAAGUAAAAAAGUUACUGAUACCUGCAGCAGAAGGAGAAGACAGCCUUAAAAAGAUGCAGCUGAUGGAGCUUGCAAUUCUGAAUGGCACCUACAGAGAUGCCAACAUCAAAUCACCAGCCCUUGCCUUUUCUCUUGCAGCAACAGCCCAGGCUCCAAGGAUUAUUACUGGGCCUGCGCCUGUUCUCCCACCAGCUGCCCUGCGUACUCCUACGCCAGCUGGCCCUACCAUAAUGCCUUUGAUCAGACAAAUACAAACCGCUGUCAUGCCAAACGGAACUCCUCAUCCCACCGCUGCAAUAGUUCCUCCCGGACCCGAGGCCGGUUUAAUUUACACACCAUACGAGUACCCCUACACGCUGGCACCAGCUACAUCAAUCCUUGAGUACCCUAUUGAACCUAGUGGUGUAUUAGGUAUGGCUUUCCCAACGAAAGGCUAAGAAUUCAAGAACGGUCUUAACUGAUCCUUCAUCAGAUCUGAAUUUUAACAAAUGCUUAGUUUUCAGCAGCCUUGAAAAAAGCUUGGCCUAGCAGUCAGUGACUUACUUGCACUUUUUUGCACAUAGAUUUAAAAUAAAAUAGUGCUAUUAAUUUGGAUUAGGUCCUAUUGUUACAGAGUAGCUGUAAUUUAUGAGUGUAUAGUAGUAUACUGACUGCUAAGUGUUCUAUAUAGUGUUUGCUUUACUAAUCACCUAAUUCAUUGCAGUUCAUACUUAUUGACUUAAAGUUUAAAAUCACAAUCUGUAGGCUUGAAGAAUUGCUUUAAAACUUUUUUUUGUGGUAGAACUGGAAGUGAUCUUAAGGUUAGCAAAUAAUUGUCAGUAUUAAAGAUGGCAUUAUUUAAAAUAGUCCUGCUGCAAGAAAGGCACUUCAGUGAAUAUGUGACUAGUAAAGCUUAAAUGUGCUUGGGUCUAAUAGAUUUCAUGAAAUACUGUAAUUUUGGGAUUGUAAAUGAAUGGAUUAAACAGGUUAAGGCCAGGAUGUUUAAAAUAAAUGCAAUAUUAAUCUGCACAGAUAAACUUCUUUUUAAGAUUAAGAUUUGAAACUACUGUGCCUUAACUUGUUGCUUUUCUUAAAAUGAACUUUUGUAGUUAAUGAUCAUUUAAAUCCAUUUUGAUAAACCUGCUGUUAAUGUUUUCUGUGAAUGUUUUCUAACUUUGUCUUGGUAAUUGCAAUUUAACUAGGUGCGGUGGCUACUAAAGUUCGAAGGCACGAUAUGCGUGUCCAUCCUUACCAAAGGAUUGUGACCGCAGACCGAGCCGCCACCGGCAACUAACCUAUGACCUUCUGACCUCUGAACUCUUCACCCAAUGAUGACCUGACCAUGCCUGCCUGCUGAUCAGUUAACUGGUAAACGCCUUUGCUUGCCUGUCUUCAGUGCAGCGAGCUGGGGCACUUGUCCGUUCGUCUUACCAUCUAACAAAACAGACAAAGAAAUUGUUGUCCUCCAACUCCGCUUUUUGUUGUUCUCCUGUUUGGGUGAAAGUGGUUCUAGAACCUGCACUGAAUAGUAGUAAAGCAAUAAGGUCCAACUCAUCCCUCCGCACUGAUCAUCCUCUAGUGUCCCGCCCCAAGCGAACGGUAAGGAGGCCUCGCACGAGAUGGAGACAGAUGUCCCUUAACUACCCGAUGACAGAGGCAGUUACUGUGAGAGACUUCUAGGAAUAUUUUUCUUCUCAGAAAAAAAAAAAAAAAAAGAAAAAAAAGAAAAAAAAGUCAAAGCUCUCUCUGAAUGUACUGUGUGAUGAUGCAUCAUGCAUGAACCUUUGGUCAGGGAUGUCAUUGGGGAAGGGAUUCCAAAAAGUAUUCAAAAUUUGAUAUGCUGUUUAGUCACUACCAGUGCCCUCAAAGGGCAGAUGUUGCAGCCUUUUUUCUAUUGCCUGCCAAAUUGGACGUUUUAAAGGAAAGUGUGCCAUGAAAUACAGAUUACAAUGACUUUUCAGAAGUACAUUAAUGCAGAGAACAAAACAGCAACACUAUUAAAGCAAAAUACAAGUUUAAAUUGUUUUAACCAUAUUUCAAUCUCCUUGGAAGAUUACAUGAGAACAAGGUACAUGCAUUAUGUGUCACAUUACUGGGCAAACUGUUCAAAUAUUUUUUUUAAACCUCCCUGUAUAGAAAAAAUUUCAUUAAGGAUGUAAAAGCCAUGCUUGCCUAUUUGCUGUAUACAUGUAAUGAAAUGUAGAUAAAGUGUAGUGCAUUGAAACAAAAUGAACAAAAAAGUAGAUACUUUUACUAUACAAGGGUGCUGGUGCAGAAAAAAAAUAUAUUUUUGGAAAUGUAGCAUUUUAUACUUUCAAGUGUUAUAAAAAAAGAAAAAAAGAACAAAGAAACCCUUUAUUUCAUUAAAUGAUUUUUUCUGGUGGUUGUCAAGAAACAAAAGACCAAAAGAGCCUUUUAGUCUUUCUUUUUUAUUUUUUAAGUAUUGGAAUAAGUCUAAAGAAAAGGAAGUGCCUUAUUUUCUUCAUGGUCAUUUAGUCAAAUGUCUUGUAUAAUCAGCUUCUCCCUCAGACAAGUUACUGCAUGCCACUCAGUCGCCCAGUAUGUGAAAGAAGCUGUGAGGGAAGACAAAUGAUGAGUUGACCAUAUUAAUUACCUGAUUUUUGCCAUACUAGUGUGAUGUGACUUUGCCAAAAUCUCAUUAAGUGAAGUAUUUGCUAAGUUUUCAUCAAACCAGCCCAUUAUUAUUUCAGCCACUCUACUUUUUAAAUCAUAGCAAAUGCCGUACUUGUGCAACUUAAACCAAAGGGUUCUGUGAUACAGACUGUCUCAUGCUAAAGGAGAUUAUUAGCUGACAAAUGUUUGUAGAGCUAGAAGUUACGUCAUUUUUGUUCAGGGAUAGAGAGGAGUUUUCUCGAUUCUGGUUGAAAUAAAUAUUACAUCAACUGUAGUAGGCUUCGGCAUCACCCAGAAAAUUGAUGUUCUGCAGAUAAUGAAACUGAAAGUGCUUAGCGAGUUUUCAGUCAGUGACUGAGCACAUCCCCAGUUUCCAGGAACAGCUUCUACAGUGGCAAACAGCAUGGAAGUUGCUUUACUUUUCAGCUCAUCUUUGACUAUUGUUAAAUCUGGCCCAUUGGCUUUUCUUGAAAAGAUAAGCAGGAGAGGGACUUCAGCCAUUUGAAGUCCAGCUAUACCUUAUUUUUAACCCUUGUUUCCACAUGAGGUUCGAAUAGCUGGGCAAUUGCAAGAGCUGAAGCUGUUGAACGCACAGUGUUUAAUUCUGAAAACAUUAAGUGUUACAUUGUGGGGCUCAGUACUAAACUUGGCAAAUAUCAGGUGAUAAUUUUACUCCCCUCUUGUCAACUUAUUCUCCUCCUGCAAAUCUUCACAGCUUCCAAAUGAAAGGUCAAUAUUAAGCUAAGAGGGCUUACAUUUUUAAGCACCUGCAUGGUGACCUCAUCUAACAUCUUGUCUCACCUGGAAAUAAUUAUCAGUUUAUUUACUAUGCAAUAGACAUUCAUCCUUUCGUAUUCAGCUAGAUUUUUGUUUAUUGUGCCACCAGCUUUGUCUUCCUGUUACACAUACAGUUGUGUUGAUUUUAUUUACAGUAUAUGCUGUGCCAUUUUGAUUUUAUUUUGGUUGGUUGGUUGAAUAAACUUGCGACACUCGAACAUUUGAAGAGAGAUUUGCUAAAACAAUACCAGUAUUUGAUCCAGUUUCAUCUCAACUAUGAUAAAACCUGGACAUUUUAGACAUUUAUCAAAGGUCUUUUUUUGGGGGGGAGGGGAAGUGUAUGGAAUAGAUGUGUGACAUGUGAAAGUAAUGUUUGCUCUGAACAAACUUCUGAAAACUUAGUUGACAAAAUUUUGGAUCAGCUUAAAAAAAAAGCAUGACUUUUGAAAUCUCUGAAUGCCUUGGUUCUCAGUAUUAUCAUUCUUUAAUGACUUUUUCUUUAUUAAAAUAAGUAGUUUUAAGACUUCUUUCUGACAGUAUUAUGUAAUUUUUUUAGAGUGGGUAGAUGGGAGUGUCGCUUGUAUGUAACCGUACAGAUGACAUGUAUUUGUCUAUUCUUUAUUAUCUUAGUAGUUUCAUGCUAUGUAUGUACCAUAACCAACCUAUUGCCUAUGAGAAACAUGUAAGAUAAUGUAUUUACAGCCAUUGUUACAAGUUUAUAAUGUAUUUUUCUAUCUUGUUUUAUAUGUAUGUUAUAUAACAUUCAAAAGAAUUUUUUUCCUGAUUGAGAAAAAAGGAUACAAAAUGCAAAACCCACAAUUUUGAUAACUGAAAAAUUGCCAAUUGUUUUGCAGUACUUUAUUAUAUUGGGAGUGUUGUCUUUCUUGGGCUUUUAGUUAGCUACUGGAUGAAUACAUUAGACAUAUUUGGGUUUUAGUUGGGUUUUUACAUAGCUUGCAUUUUAAUUCUUUGGUUCUUUGCUGUUUCUAUUAACCCAUAGCAUUAUUUUAAUAAAUGUUAUAAUACCAACCUACUAACUCUGGAUUAUGUCUGUUUAUUAACCAUUACAUGUUUAAUUAAAAUAAACAAAUAAAGACGGAAGAAUGUGAAGUCGAGUUACUGGACUAACCCUGAAGAACGUGACCACAGAUAACACAACGUGACUUGUUUUUAUGUUGUUUGUCAGCUGACAUUCUGCACACUACUAUUAAGUUGGCUUUGGUCAUUCUGGCCUUUUACCUUGGGGAAUAGGUGCCAGUAGAAAUGGGAACAAAGUAGCAUUUUUGAGGCAUUCUUCUUGUAGAGUCUUGCCACUUGCCUUUCAGCAUCUGCAUUACUAAUUCCACACUUUCUUUUUCUUUCUCUAAAAUAAUUGUUGUUGGCUCACAGCAAAAGAGCAAAAGAUGCCAGUGUAUUGGUAAAUUUUGAUGGUGUACAGAAACCAGUUUGAUUCUUUGUUGAACCAUUCAGAGGUUGCAGUUAAUCGCACAGUAAUUUGUGAUUUGUUGGUUUUGGCACCUGAUUCACUGUUGCAUCACGUGAUGUUUCUAAGCACAAAACAUUUCUGGGUAGAAUUGCUGUACAUUGAAACGCAAAACCUGGGGGUUUCCAUUGGCAAAAGUGCCUUAUUUAUACCAUGCUGUUUCAAGUAACUUUAUUUUUGGUACUUCUGCUGAAGUCUAUCAGUAUUGCCUAGCUCAGGGGAGUACAACUUCUGUAAGCCAAAGGUCAGACUGGAUUUUUUCCUAGUGACUGCAGAAAGUACAAAAAUACACCUUUCACUAAAUUACCAAGCAGCAUCCAUUUCAAAUUCCAGAGCUGCCUUUAUGUGAUCUUUAUCCUUGUGGAUGACUGGAGCAACAUGAAUGCAGGGAAUUGAAAUGGUGAAAAUGCUGUUUUGAAUGUUCAGCUAUGCAAAUAUUUUUACAGAUAUGCUUCCCCUUUCUUAGAACUACACUGUCUGAGGCUCCUUUAUAUCUCCCAGGUAGUUCUAGAUUUGUAACCUUGAGUGGGCAGUAAUUAUCACUAAUGUUGAGAGAGAUCCUCAAUGCAGAUAACUUCUCAGAUGUCAACAGUUUUCUUCCUGAAAGUCCAUUUUUUCCUGUAGAUAGUAAAAUUUCAGAUGAGGAAUCUGAAUCUGUUCAAAUUCCUCCUUUAAUUUAUGACUUUUCAAGCUAUUUAUCUUGAAAUACAUGCAAUAUAAAACUAUAAAUAGAGUUCUCACAGUAUUGCUAGUAAUUAAAAUUUUAUGCAUCUUUAUGGAGAAAAAUAGUCUAGCUUUGAUAACAUUUGUUAGUUUUCUAAUGGCAUGUAGUUCUUUGUUUUACAAAAGUUUUAGGUAGAGAUGAAAUACUAAUUCAUUUUGAAUAGUUUCACUUGUGCAGAAUUUUUUUUUUAAUUUAACAGACGUUGUUGCUAUCCUAAAACUCAGCCACAGGCAGAUAAUAGGAAUAUUAGAUAUUGAUAACAGAUAAUAUCAGGACCUUUUGACUGGAUAAUGGAACAAGUGUCAUUACAGAGCAAAUAAUUUACAUUCUUAAAGAAUUUUAUCAGAGGCGCACAUGUAGUUUGGUGAAGUACUGUGUCCAAUAUAGGUGAAACUAUUCAAAUGGAACAAAAUUUUAAUUUUCUAUAUUGAAGAAUACUUCUAUUUCCAGAACUACUGCUUUUCUAUAAUAUUUUUAUUAUUUUGGGUUUUUAUCAAUAGAUGUUAACUGCUGUUAUACUUUGUCCACAGUGCAUUUUCAUCUCAUUCUUCAGUAUAUACAGUAGUCGAAGUUGCUGUAAAUUUUGUAGUACUUUAAAGCUGAAGGAAAACAAAAAUAGGAAAACGCUAAAAUCAAAAUAAUAUAUGCAUUAUUGUUGCCUGCCAAAGGUAUUUCUCAGUUUACCUGAGUGCCUGUCUGAAAAUUUAACUAUUUUAUACUUUACCUGCUUAUAGGAAAGGUACGAACUGUUUUCAUCACCAAAUUUGAGGAUGACUUCAAUAUUGCUAAAUCACUGAAGUUAGCUUCUUUUUCUUUCUUACCAUUCUGAGAUUAAAUUGUGUUAACGUUUGAAAGAUCAUACAUUCAAGACAAUUAGAUCAUUGGUCUUUGAUCCAAUAAAGUGGGAUUUAUCUUAGAGGAAAUAUUUUUUUUGUUGGUGAGAAUAUAAACAAAAAUGUAAUCUAGACUUUCAAAGUAAAAUCUGAGCAAUGGUGUUCAUAUCUUAAAUGUUGUACCAAAGUACAACCAACUUAGUUUCUUCAAGUAUAUUUUUGUGAAUAUUAUAAAGUGCCUUCAAGAACAUCUUUUAAGAUAUUUUUAAUGAGCAUAUGUUCAGUAUUCUGACGAUUCUGAUCUUUUAUUUGAAUGUAUCUUUUGAUAGUGUUUCCAAAAUCUACAUGUAGCAAAAGGUUUAUUGCCAGAUUGUGCUCCAUGAGGGGGACCACUAAAAGGUUUUCUGCCCUGAAAAUGCAGGGAAGCAUUGAAGUGUGUUACCAUCCAUUAAGAAAUUAACUUGGGGGAAACAUACUUAAGAGUAUGAAACUGAGUUCUUUGUGUCUGGAUAAAAAUACCAGAAAUGGCACAUUGUACAGAAUGGAAUCUGAGUAACACAUUCCUAGGGCUGGAAGUACAUAACUGUUCCCGGAAUUUCUGUUUUGUUUUAAUAUGUUUGAUCCAUUUUUUUUCUAAAACACUGUUAAUGGAAUACUGUCCAAGUAACACAUGGCCCAUAGCAUUAACACGUGGUAAUCAAUGUUGAAUCAAACUGGUUAACGCAAGUACAGCCAGCGCUCUUCCUUCUCUGUGCCUGCGCACUAAUUGCAGGUGCUGCAUAGGGGCUGGGGCUUAGGCACAGCAGGCUGCAGUCCUGAUUUCUUGGUGCCUGCACUUGGGGUGUCCGUCUUUGACAGCAGACUAACUGGGAGGAGUCUGCCUCCCAAGGCAAAGAUUAACCGAGAUCUGAAACUCUUAGUAGAAUUAACUGAAAAUACAGCAACAAUAAAGCGACAUAUAUACAUA